GUAUCAGGAGUAUAGGAGUAUAUAGUUGGAAAAUGCUACCUAGCUUUGGCAAGCAAGUAAGUACUCAACUAACAAUCAUUAUACAUAAUGACAUUUUCAAAUCUCGAUCGCAUGCCUCUUAACUCUAGUUUAUUCUCUUCUCAUGUGCAUUCUCAAACCACUACAUACCCUCUGCUUUUAGUGGGCCAGCAUCGAUCAGAGAGGGAUGGCUAGAGUCUAUCAUCAAACCAUGGAUAAGAACAUCAGUGCCAUGACAUUAUUGUUGAUCUGGAAUGCAAUGGACCAAACACGCAGAGCUCCAUGUGCGACAAGUUUCAACUGUUCUACUGAAGAGACUUUGUGAUGAACACAAAUGAUGAACCACAAAUGGUUUGUAUCCUAUUUCUUUUCUGACAGACACAAUUACCAUAGCCACAAACUGGAGUGUGAGAGGAUAGGUAGUUGUUCUGUAGCCCUAGAUUAUUGGAGAUUGGUUUAGAGAACUAAAAAAUAAGAUUAUAAUUAAUGAAGCUUCAAAAUGCAAGUCAAGUACAGUUACUUUUUGUUGUAGGCAUUGUUGUAGAAACGUUGUAAUCAUGAUGCUAAAACAGUAAAGAUGC
rnacentral:lncRNA from 1 species